rnacentral:rRNA from 1 species
GACGAACGCUGGCGGCGUGCCUAAUACAUGCAAGUCGAGCGGACGAAUCGAAAGCUUGCUUUUGAUUCGUUAGCGGCGGACGGGUGAGUAACACGUGGGCAACCUGCCCUGUAGACGGGGAUAACACCGAGAAAUCGGUGCUAAUACCGGAUAACACGAAAUGUCGCAUGACGUUUCGUUGAAAGACGGCGCAAGCUGUCGCUACAGGAUGGGCCCGCGGCGCAUUAGCUAGUUGGUGAGGUAACGGCUCACCAAGGCGACGAUGCGUAGCCGACCUGAGAGGGUGAUCGGCCACACUGGGACUGAGACACGGCCCAGACUCCUACGGGAGGCAGCAGUAGGGAAUCUUCCGCAAUGGACGAAAGUCUGACGGAGCAACGCCGCGUGAGCGAAGAAGGCCUUCGGGUCGUAAAGCUCUGUUGUUAGGGAAGAACAAGUAACGCAGUAACUGGCGUUACCGUGACGGUACCUAACGAGAAAGCCACGGCUAACUACGUGCCAGCAGCCGCCGUAA